rnacentral:rRNA from 1 species
UCACUAAGCGGAGGAAAAGAAACUAACAAGGAUUUCCUUAGUAACGGCGAGCGAACCGGAAGUAGCCCAGCUUGAAAAUCUCGCGGUCCCGCCGCGCGAAUUGUAGUCUGGAGAAGCGUCCUCUGCAGCGGACCGGGCCCAAGUUCCCUGGAACGGGACGUCGGAGAGGGUGAGAGCCCCGUCGAGCUCGGACCCUGCUGCUCCACGAGGCGCUGUCGACGAGUCGGGCUGUUUGGGAAUGCAGCCCUAAGCGGGUGGUAAAUUCCAUCCAAGGCUAAAUAUGGGCAAGAGACCGAUAGCGAACAAGUACCGCGAGGGAAAGAUGAAA